AGCCGUGCAGUGUACAGAGCGAACUAUUAUUUUGCCUUUUACUAAAGAAAACCGUUUGUGUGCCGCUCCAAGCGACAUACGCCAAUUUUUAGAGCGGCAUUUUCAGAUGAAAU